rnacentral:snRNA from 1 species
GGAUGUGAGGGCGAUCUGGCUGCGACAUCUGUCACCCCAUUGAUCGCCAGGGUUGAUUCGGCUGAUCUGGCUGGCUAGGCGGGUGUCCCCUUCCUCCCUCACCGCUCCAUGUGCGUCCCUCCUGAAGCUGCGCGCUCGGUCGAAGAGGACGACCAUCCCUGAUAGAGGAGGACCGUUCUUCGGUCAAGGGUAUACGAGUAGCUGCGCUCCCCUGCUAGAACCUCCAAACAAGCUCUCAAGAAGUUAAACCAUAGAUCUCCUCCCAUCUAUAAACCUUAAAGCUACCUUGCUACACUU